rnacentral:rRNA from 1 species
AAAGGGAAUUGACGGGGGCCCGCACAAGCAGCGGAGCGUGUGGUUCAAUUCGAAGAUACACGAAGAACCUUACCUGGGCUUGACAUGGUGGUAGUAGUGAAGCGAAAGUGGAACGAUCCUUCGGGAAGCCUCCACAGGUGCUGCAUGGCUGUCGUCAGCUCGUGCCGUGAGGUGUUGGGUUAAGUCCUGUAACGAGCGCAACCCUCGCUGCCAGUUAUACGUGUCUGGCGGGACUGCCGGUGACAAACCGGAGGAAGGUGGGGAUGACGUCAAGUCAGCAUGGCCUUUAUGUCCAGGGCUACACACAC